ACACUCCUACGGGAGGCAGCAGUGGGGAAUAUUGCACAAUGGGCGCAAGCCUGAUGCAGCCAUGCCGCGUGUAUGAAGAAGGCCUUCGGGUUGUAAAGUACUUUCAGCGGGGAGGAAGGCGAUAAGGUUAAUAACCUUGUUGAUUGACGUUACCCGCAGAAGAAGCACCGGCUAACUCCGUGCCAGCAGCCGCGGUAAUACGGAGGGUGCAAGCGAUAAUCGGAAUUACUGGGCGUAAAGCGCACGCAGGCGGUCUGUCAAGUCGGAUGUGAAAUCCCCGGGCUCAACCUGGGAACUGCAUUCGAAACUGGCAGGCUAGAGUCUUGUAGAGGGGGGUAGAAUUCCAGGUGUAGCGGUGAAAUGCGUAGAGAUCUGGAGGAAUACCGGUGGCGAAGGCGGCCCCCUGGACAAAGACUGACGCUCAGGUGCGAAAGCGUGGGGAGCAAACAGGAUUAGAAACCCGAGUAGUCCC
rnacentral:rRNA from 1 species